AAUGGAGGUUCCCAAUGAUAAGGUGCGCUAAAAUAGCCCCAAAAUGGUAACUAAAGUCUUCAGGAAAAUGAAUUAUUAGAAGGGAUUUUGAAGGUGAUGCUGUAAAGUCUUACUGGGAUCAAUUGACUUUGAACUAUUUUUAGAGUAGGAAAUGGUAGCCGUAAUUGUACCACAAUGCAUAACAGAAAUGAUUGAUAUUGCCGCUAACAAAAUAUAUAACCAAUUGUAUAACGUAUACAGAAUAUAUUGUGGCAAUCACAUUAUUGUGAUCCCAGUGCAGCCAUUUUGCUGUUUCUAUUUGCUAUUUUGAUGAUUGGAUUCUUUACGGAACUUGUUUUUCAAGAAAGCCUUUGACAAAUAUGUUGCGUAAAUACUGUUUUGCAGGUUGGGGUUCUUAUUGGAAAGG
rnacentral:misc_RNA from 1 species